rnacentral:rRNA from 1 species
AGCGAACGCUGGCGGCGUGCCUAGCACAUGCAAGUCGAACGUGAAAAGGGGAACCUGAGUACCGUGGCGUACGGGUGAGUAACGCGUAGGUAAUCUACCCCAGAAUCUGGAAUAACCUGCCGAAAGGCGGGCUAAUACUGGAUAGAGCGAGGGAACUCGUAAGAGAGUUUUUCGGGAAAGGGAGCCCGCAAGGGCCUUCGUUCUGGGAUGAGCCUGCGUCUCAUUAGCUAGUUGGUAAGGUAACGGCUUACCAAGGCGAUGAUGAGUAGCUGGUCUGAGAGGAUGAUCAGCCACACUGGAACUGAAACACGGUCCAGACUCCUACGGGAGGCAGCAGUGGGGAAUCUUGCGCAAUGGACGAAAGUCUGACGCAGCCACGCCGCGUGAGUGAAGAAGGCCUUCGGGUUGUAAAGCUCUGUCGGAUGGGACGAACAUCUUCAUAGUGAAUAGCUAUGAGGACUGACGGUACCAUCAAAGGAAGCACCGGCUAACUCCGUG